AUUGAACGCUGGCGGCAGGCCUAACACAUGCAAGUCGAACGAGCGGCGGACGGGUGAGUAAUGUCUGGGAAACUGCCUGAUGGAGGGGGAUAACUACUGGAAACGGUAGCUAAUACCGCAUACUAUCAGAUGAGCCCAGAUGGGAUUAGCUUGUUGGUGGGGUAAAGGCUCACCAAGGCGACGAUCCCUAGCUGGUCUGAGAGGAUGACCAGCCACACUGGAACUGAGACACGGUCCAGACUCCUACGGGAGGCAGAAGUGGGGAAUAUUGCACAAUGGGCGCAAGCCUGAUGCAGCCAUGCCGCGUGUAUGAAGAAGGCCUUAGGGUUGUAAAGUACUUUCAGCGGGGAGGCGUUACCCGCAGAAGAAGCACCGGCUAACUCCGUGCCAGCAGCCGCGGUAAUAC
rnacentral:rRNA from 1 species